rnacentral:rRNA from 1 species
ACGGGUGAGUAACACGUAGACAACCUGCCGACAGGAUGGGGACAACAUUCCGAAAGGAAUGCUAAUACCGAAUGAAGUCAGAGAAGGGCAUCCUUUUCUGAUGAAAGAUGGCCUCUUUUUAUGCUAUCACCUGUUGAUGGGUCUGCGUCUGAUUAGCUGGUAGGUGAGGUAACGGCUCACCUAGGCGACGAUCAGUAGCCGGUCUGAGAGGAUGAACGGCCACAUUGGAACUGAGACACGGUCCAGACUCCUACGGGAGGCAGCAGUGGGGGAUAUUGCACAAUGGGCGAAAGCCUGAUGCAGCAACGCCGCGUGAAGGAAGAAGGCUUUCGAGUCGUAAACUUCUGUCCAAAGGGAAGAAAAGAUGACGGUACCUUUGAAGAAAGCCCCGGCUAACUACGUGCCAGCAGCCGCGGUAAUACGUAGGGGGCGAGCGUUAUCCGGAAUUACUGGGCGUAAAGAGUAUGUAGGUGGUUUAGCAAGCGUAGGGUUUAAGGCGACAGCCCAACUGUCGUAUGCCCCGCGAACUGUUAGACUUGAGUACAGGAGGGGAAGGCGGAAUUCCUAGUGUAGCGGUGAAAUGCGUAGAUAUUAGGAGGAACACCGGUGGCGAAAGCGGCCUUCUGGACUGUAACUGACACUGAGAUACGAAAGCGUGGGUAGCAAACAGGAUUAGAUACCCUGAUAGUCCA